rnacentral:misc_RNA from 1 species
UCGCUCGCCUUUGAUAACACUGGUCUAGAUGAUAAAAAAAAAAAAAAAAAUUGAAAAGAAACUCAGCAGAGCUUGCAAUCUUUAGAACAAGAAGGAAUACAAUCCAAAUGAAUCUAACAACUCAAAUGGCCAUCCAGAGAAACUCCAGCCCAGCAAUUUAAAAAUGCCGUUACAAUGAAAAUACUUCUGCCUGCCUAUUCUCUAUAAAGCAACACUUAUUUAUAGAUUCUGCCUAUAAUUUGCUCGGCUGUGGUGUAAACAACUCCAGCUCAUUUCCUAUUUUUCCGCGCUCUUCUAUCUUCAUCUCGAAUCUUCCACGUUCUUCUAACUUAGCUACCACUCCUCUUUCAUCUUUUCUGAAUUUCUUCCUUGAGUAAACCCGUGAGGGCCCAGGCCUGCUAUAACCAGGCUCAUAUUAGGAUCCAUAACAUGCACAAUCUCAAAAUCAGGCUUAUACACAAUCUCAAAAUCAUAUCCAAAUUAUUUAGCAACCCAGUGUUGUUGAGCCAGCCAUCAGUAUUUUAGAUCGGCAGCAAACUCUUUUUGCCAUUGAAAUUGGGUAACUCAACUUUCUUUUCUACUAGUUGAAACUCAUCAGUAACUGAAGUUCUGGCUUGGGUGUGAUGUACUAAGGAUUCUCCUGGGAUAGUCUAACUAAGAUGAGAAGCAGACCCUCCAUUGCCUUCCUCUUCUGUGUUUUUGCCUUUCACUAGAAAGGUCAGUAAUCCCUCUAUUGAAUCUGGUUUCUCCAGUUGCUUUCAUGUUUGCAUCAUUUCAUCGCAUAGACCAUUAAGCUUAUGGCCUUGUUGCUCCGUCAUUGUGUGGUUUAAGCUUACAGUCCUAAUGUUCCUUUCUGUCAUCUCCAUACAAGACUCCAUUCUGGUGGUGGGCAUUCACUCUUAAGAGGAUCUGGCAGGUUGGACCAAAUUGAUAGAGUUAGGAACACGAGAAUAAUUCAGGAUAACAAUUUGAAGAGAAAUUGUAUUAAUUACCAAGAACAGCAAAUAAUACAAAACAAUCUUUCUCAGUUACCAAGCUUUCAAGGAAUAUCUUCUGACUACUUUCUGGAAUACAUAAAGCAAAUAAUAGAACUAAGAAACUUCAAUAUAGCCAGAGAAUCUGAUAAUGCCAAAAGCAAUAACAGAAUUCUUCACACUGUUUCUCUUCUUCCUGGCUCUAUUUAUAGAUUCUUUAACUUUUCAAUUCAUUAGAAGAAUCUCCAGGUGGUAUCUCCUCCGCAAUCCUCACCAACAGAUUUGGAUCCUCCAUCCUCAUUCCUUCCAGCUCAUCGAUUCCAGAACCUGCUGCUCCUAUCUUCUUUCUUUGAAAAUAAAUUAUGAGCCUUCCUGGGCUUGUAACCUCCCCUGCUGAGCCCACCUUCUUAUCUUGAUCGAUAACAAAUAAAUUUGUGUCUUCUUGUUUGUGCGAUAGCAAAAUUAACUAGUUCUUCUUUAUAAAAAUGAUGGGAACAUGACUAGUCCAUUGUUUGUUUUCUAAAGGGUAGAAUCCAGAAAGCCAGAAC